ACUUCUCAAACACCGAUCUGGUCUGUUUCGCAAGUGUUCCCGGAAGUACCGAGAUGUUGCGCCUCUGGCUUUAAAAACUCUGUGUUAUCAAGGACUCCAUUAUUAACUUCUCCAUUGGAUUGGUCGAACAGUGCAAAAGAAAACCUCCCCCUACAGUUGUUUUCUCUCUCGUCAACACCAGUAUGCUGGCAAUCUAGUUUCAGACGUUUUUUUAUUUAUUUAUUUUUAACAUAAUUACAGUAUUUUUAAUGGGAGGAAAAUUGAGGGGAGGGCUUUAGGAUUUGUGUGACAGUUCAACAGCGCAAUCUCCGUAAAGGGCAGUCAGACGGCUGAGGGCAAAACAAAUCGUAGAACUGGUUCUCGUAAGAGCUCGCAAGGGGGUGUCAAAUACGGACAUUGCCCCCCUCCCCCCCGGGAAUAUAGCAUUUACUGAUGAUGUUGGUGUCUGAAGAGUUUCUGCUGCCUCUCCAGCUUCUAGACAAGAUCAUCUCUGACAGUGCAACAACCUGUCCAACAUUUGACAAAGAUGCGAAGUGAACAAGUUCCAGACUUCGUGGGGAAAUGUCCAGACCGCAGCUCUUCACGUGAGACACAUCCAGAUUUGGGGUAACAUCUCCCAGCUGUUCAGACCAGAGAUGGAUCAAGAGCUCAACCACUAUUUCGGCAGAGAACAGACAGUGGAUUUUACUGCAGGGAUGUAUGGGGAUACAGGCGAGACUGGCAACUACAGACAGCUCCAGGCUGGACCUGUCUGUCCCCUCUCUCUCUCUCUCCUCUAUCCUCAUCUAUCUGUCCCCUCUCUCUCUCCUCUAUCCUCAUCUAUCUGUCCUCUCUCUCUCUCCUCUAUCCUCAUCUAUCUGUCCUCUCUCUCUCUCCUCUAUCCUCAUCUGUCUGUCCCCUCUCUCUCUCCUCUAUCCUCAUCUGUCUGUCCUCUCUCUCUCUCCUCUAUCCUCAUCUAUCUGUCCCCUCUCUCUCUCUCCUCUAUCCUCAUCUAUCUGUCCUCUCUCUCUCUCCUCUAUCCUCAUCUAUCUGUCCUCUCUCUCUCUCCUCUAUCCUCAUCUAUCUGUCCUAUCCUCAUCUAUCUGUCCCCACCACUGCUUGUAAACGACGAUGAUAUCUGUCAAGUCGUGUCCUGUUAAUUUCAUAACUAGGGAUCGAACAGAACAUAUGUCGGCUAGUUGGUAGAAUCAGGCUUAAUCUGUAUCUGGGAAACAGGCCCUUGGGGUAGAUUUAUGUGUUGUACCCAUAGAGUUAGGUAGAUGUAUGUGUUGUACCCAUAGAGUUAGGUAGAUUUAUGUGUUUUACCCAUAGAGGUAGGUAGGUUUUUGUGUUGUACCCAUAGAGGUAGGUAGGUUUAUGUGUUGUGCCCAUAGAGUUAGGUAGAUGUAUGUGUUGAGCCCAUAGAGUUAGGUAGAUGUAUGUGUUGUGCCCAUAGAGUUAGGUAGAUGUAUGUGUUGAGCCCAUAGAGUUAGGUAGGUUUAUGUGUUGUGCCCAUAGAGUUAGGUAGAUGUAUGUGUUGAGCCCAUAGAGUUAGGUAGAUGUAUGUGUUGAGCCCAUAGAGUUAGGUAGAUGUAUGUGUUGAGCCCAUAGAGUUAGGUAGAUGUAUGUGUUGAGCCCAUAGAGUUAGGUAGGUUUAUGUGUUGAGCCCAUAGAGUUAGGUAGAUUUAUGUGUUGAGCCCAUAGAGUUAGGUAGAUUUAUGUGUUGAGCCCAUAGAGUUAGGUAGAUGUAUGUGUUGAGCCCAUAGAGUUAGGUAGGUUUAUGUGUUGAGCACAUAGAGUUAGGUAGAUUUAUGUGUUGAGCCCAUAGAGUUAGGUAGAUGUAUGUGUUGAGCCCAUAGAGUUAGGUAGAUUUAUGUGUUGUGCCCAUAGAGUUAGGUAGAUGUAUGAGUUGAGCCCAUAGAGUUAGGUAGAUGUAUGUGUUGAGCCCCAGGCAACAUUUUCUAUUUCAUUAAGGGACUUUUUUCUUUUUCAUUUGCAACAUUUGUGGUCCACCACCUUCACUCCUUCCGGGAUAUGUGCAAUAUGGUAUCUUAUUACCUGUCAUGACGUGGAUAUGAAUAUGUAAUAUUGUAUGAACAAGUGACACGUUGUUUGAAAACAACAAAAUUACCAACGUCUUCCAUUAAGAAAUAUUUAUAGUCUUCAUAUGCAUUAGCUUGUUUAGAGGGACUGUGGUGCCAAUAUUAUAACUAACCAUGCAUGCAGGGUUGCUGGUGUUGCAUGCAGGGUUGCUGGUGUUGCAUGCAGGGUUGCUGGUGUUGCUUGCUUUUUUAAAUUAACCAAAAGGUUGCGAGGUCAAAUCCCCGAGCUUGACAAGGUAGAAUGUAGAAUACGUAGAAUGUAUGCACACAUGACUGUAAGUCGCUUUGGAAAAAGCGUCUGCUAAAUGGCAUAUUAUAUUAUUAUUAUUAUUAUAAGGUACAAAUCUGUCGCUCUGCCCCUGAACAAGGCAGUUAACCCCACUGUUCCUAGACCAGUUAACCCCACUGUUCCUAGACCAGUUAACCCCACUGUUCCUAGACCAGUUAACCCACUGUUCCUAGACCAGUUAACCCACUGUUCCUAGACCAG